rnacentral:rRNA from 1 species
AGAUUGAACGCUGGCGGCAUGCCUUACACAUGCAAGUCGAACGGCAGCGCGGGGCAACCUGGCGGCGAGUGGCGAACGGGUGAGUAAUAUAUCGGAACGUACCCUGGAGUGGGGGAUAACGUAGCGAAAGUUACGCUAAUACCGCAUACGAUCUAAGGAUGAAAGUGGGGGAUUCGCAAGAACCUCAUGCUCCUGGAGCGGCCGAUAUCUGAUUAGCUAGUUGGUGGGGUAAAGGUCUACCAAGGCAUCGAUCAGUAGCUGGUCUGAGAGGACGACCAGCCACACUGGAACUGAGACACGGUCCAGACUCCUACGGGAGGCAGCAGUGGGGAAUUUUGGACAAUGGGCGAAAGCCUGAUCCAGCAAUGCCGCGUGAGUGAAGAAGGCCUUCGGGUUGUAAAGACUCUUUUGUCAGGAAAGAAACGGUGAGAGACUAAUAUACUCUUGCUAAUGACGGUAACCUAGAAGAAUAAAGACAACCGGACUAAACUACGUAGCCAGCA